rnacentral:lncRNA from 1 species
UUUUUUUCUUUACACUCGAUAAAACUGAUAAAAAAUAUAAAUUGAUUUUUUUAAAAAUGAGGCAGCCUUAUAAAACUAAUGUUAUUUAUGAAAGUUAACUAAUUUUUUUGUUAACGUUAAAAAUAUAUAUUAACGUGUAUAGUCUAAGUGUACAGACCUUAUACCUUUUGUAGUUGAUAAGUUCCAAAUUAAAUUUUGUAAUUGAGGAUCCUUAGCAAUGCGUUGAAUUAUAAAAGAAAUAAGCAAAAUACAUGUAAAGACUUUUACUAACUUGCACAACGUUGGAGAUGGUAGAAAAUCUUUCAAUUAAUGAUGCUACAUAAUCUAUUUGAAGAUUUAUGUAGAUUUUGCUUGCACUUGUGGCAGAGAAAUUAACCUCACCUGUUUAGAGCAAAUGUAACCUAAAACGAAACUUGAACAAAAUCUAAAAUUGUGUAUAAUAUUAAAAUAGCCACAUUGCAUUUGAAAAUGUUAAUUAGUGGGAUCUAAAUAAAAUAAUCAUCUUGGAAUUUU